GUGCCAGCAGCCGCGGUAAUACGGAGGGUGCAAGCGUUAAUCGGAAUCACUGGGCGUAAAGCGCGCGUAGGCCGCCUUCUAAGUCGGACGUGAAAGCCCUCGGCUCAACCGAGGAACUGCGUUCGAAACUGGGAGGCUUGAGUCCUGGAGAGGAUGGCGGAAUUCCGGGUGGAGGAGUGAGUUCAGUGGAUAUCGGGAGGAACACCGGGGGCGAAGGCGGCCACCUGGGCAGGUACUGACGCUGAGGCGCGAA
rnacentral:rRNA from 1 species